rnacentral:rRNA from 1 species
UUAGCGCGCACACUAUGUCCCGUCACUCUCCCCGAGUACAGGUGCUGUAAUAAUUAAAAAGCUACUCAAAAGAAGGGGAGGCACGUCGUAACAUGGUAAG